rnacentral:rRNA from 1 species
UCCUAAUAAUGCAAGUCGAGCGCGACGAUGGGAGCUUGCUCCCUGAUGUUAGCGCGCGGUACGGAGUGAAGUAACACGGUGGGGUAACCUGCCUGUAAGACUGGGAUAACUCCGGGAAACCGGGGCUAAUACCGAGAUGGUUGUCUGAACCGGAUGGUUCAGACAUAAAAGGUGGCUUCGGCUACCACUUACAGAUGGACCCGCGGCGCAUUAGCUAGUUGGUGAGGUAACGGCUCACCAAGGCGACAAUGCGUAGCCGACCUGAGAGGGUGAUCGGCCACACUGGGACUGAGACACGGCCCAGACUCCUACGGGAGGCAGCAGUAGGGAAUCUUCCGCAAUGGACGAAAGUCUGACGGAGCAACUCCGCGUGAGUGAUGAAGGUUUUCGGAUCGUAAAGCUCUGUUGUUAGGGAAGAACAAGUGCCGUUCAAAUAGGGCGGCACCUUGACGGUACCUAACCAUAAAGCCACGGCUAACUACGUGCCAGCAGCCGCGGUAAUACGUAGGUGGCAAGCGUUGUCCGGAAUUAUUGGGCGUAAAGGGCUCGCAUGCGGAUUCUUAAGUCUGAUGUGAAAGCCCCCGGCUCAACCGGGGA